CAACUACUCCCUCCGUUCGGAAUUACUCGUCCAAGAAAUGAAUGUAUCUAGAUGUAUUUUAGUUGUAGAUACAUUCAUUUUUGUGACAAGUAAUUCCGAACGGAGGGAGUACAAA
rnacentral:pre_miRNA from 1 species